CUAAGCAAUUAACCACACAAAAACACUUAUACACGGCAAACACAAAUACAAACACAUACACAACUCUUCCAUACACACCAACAUAUACACGCAAACCCUACUGCUGCCGCGAUCUACUCCGGCGACUGCUCCGGCUCCACUUGUUUUACGGGUUGAAAAUUAUUCUUCUGCUCCUAAUUUAGUAUCUUUAUGCUACCAGCACAUUUGAAUCUAGAUUCGGUGACCGCUUAUCUCUUUCACUUUAAUUUACGCCAAGCAAAGAUAUUGAUGAUGAUGAUAUCCUCGAUACUAGAGUAUGAUAUCUCAUGUGUCAAGAGAUAUUAGAUGCUGAUGAUACCCUCAACACCAGCAUAUGAUAUCCCGCGUGUCAACAAAUAUUGAUAAUGAUGAUAUCCUCAAUGCCAGCACAUGAUAUCUCAUGUGUCAACAGAUAUUGAUGAUAAUGAUAUCCUCGAUGCCAACAUAUGACAUCUCACGUGUCAACAGAUAUUAGAUGUUGAUGAUAUCCUCGACGCCAGCAUAUGAUAUCUCGCAUGUCAACAGAUAUUAGAUGAUGAUACCCUCGAUGCCAGUGUAUGAUAUCUCGCGCAUCAUUAGAUAUUUAAUACAGAUGAUACCCUCGACACUAGCGUAUGAUAUCUCGCAUGUAAUCAGAUAUUUAAUGCAAAUGAUACCCUCAACGCCAGCGUAUGACAUCGCGCACGUUAUGAGAUAUUUAGUGCAUAUGAUACCCUCAAUGCUAGCGUAUGAUAUCUCGUGCGCUAUCUGAAAUUUAAUGCAACUGAUACCCUCGACUCCAGCAUAUGAUAUCUCACACAUCAUCAGAUAUUUAAUGCAGAUGAUACCCUCAACACCAGUAUAUGAUAUCUCAUGCAUCAUCAGAUAUUUAAUGUAAAUGAUACCCUCGACGCCAGCGUAUGAUAUCUCGCGCGUUAUCAGAUAUUUAGUACAUAUGAUACCCUCGAUGCUAGCGUAUUAUAUCUCAUGCGUCAUCAUAUAUUUAAUAUAGAUGAUACCCCCAAUGCCAGCGUAUAAUAUCUCACAUGUCAUCAGAUAUUUAAUCAGAUAAUACCCUCGAUGCCAGCGUAUGAUAGCUCGCGUGUCAUCAGAUAUUUAAUACAGAUAAUACCCUUGAUGCUAGAGUAUAAUAUCUUAUGUGUUAUCAGAUAUUUAAUGUAAAUGAUACCCUCAACGCCAGCGUAUGAUAUCUCGUACGUCAUCAGAUAUUUAAUGAGGAUGAUAUGCAAUGGCCCUCUUGGUAAUGGAAUGAGAUAGAAUGGCCCUUUUGACAAAGAAGAUGGUUUCGCCUGAAUCCUUUUGUUUGCAUUUUUGUUUUAUAUGUGUACCUGUGCUCAAGGUAUAUAGUUAGUAGACAUGAAGUCGCUUUUGCUAGGGACUAUUUUUUAGAACAAUUCUAAAUACAGUAUUUAUAAAGAAGAUAAGGCGCCUUUGUUUGUCCUUCAUGGUCUCAAGAAAUGAGAUAGACAAUUCAAAAGGUCUUUAAUAAAUGGGUAUUAACCUGUCUUUGGGGCUACCAAAAAAUACCCUUCUCGAGCAUUAUAUUCUCUGGUGUGGCUCCCAACUUGCUUGGGGAUUUUUUGAAAAAGACUCAUUUUUGUGUAUUGAACCCUGCAUCCAUAGAAAAAUGAUUAGUUUGAGUGAAACUACUCCAUGUUAACCUUCUUCACUCCUCUAUUUGCUCCUCACCAUCUUUUAGGUGCUCCAUCAUAUUAGUACCUCCACCCCGGCUCCUUGCUCUAAUAGACGUCUAGGCAAUCACUAUGUAAAAUAUUUGUAUAGAUUUUUGAAAGUAGUCUUAAUUUUAGAAAAUAGUUCGAAAGUUUCUAAAAAGCUUUAGAAAAUCUCUGCCAGUCAUGUCAUAUGCUAGCUCAACAAACGUCUUCCUCUUGGUUUUGACUAUAUCCAAUUGAGGAUUUCCAAAACUCAUCAUCAUUGUUAGAGGGUUCUUCAAAUAGUUCUGUCAUAGCUAAAAAUUGAGUCUACCUAGACUUUGUCACAGCUAGUGACUUCAAAAGUUUAACUUUGACCUCUGGUGCUGGGGAAUUUGAAAUAUAUCCCAGUGUUUGGUGGAAAUUUUGGGGCCUUCCUCAAAAUUUCUGAACUAGUUUAAAGUUGUUUGAUAUGAUAUCAACUUGAAAGGAUUUGAAGUCUUUAUUAGUCUUCGUUCUCUUUGUUGGAUGAGGAUCUUCCUCUUGUGAAUUUUCAAGAUUCCUUCUCAAAAAUUUUGCCCAAGUUUUCAUUUUCUGGGGUUACAUGAUCGAGCCGUUGGGGUGCCUACGUAUCUCAUUGAAGUAGGAAUUAGGUCAAACGUAGUUCAGGACUACUCUAGGGAUGUAUAGAAAAAUUUAAUGAGUUGACUGAAGCUGACAUAGGCCGCCUACGUAUAUCAUUCUUUAGAAUUCAGGUCAUCACGUAGUUUAUACAUGAAAGAAAAGUAUAAAUUUUUCUAAGGAGUUGACCGAAGACGACAUAGGCCACCUACGUAUCCCUUUCUUGGGAAUUUAGGUCAAAUGUAGUUCGUACAUGAUAGGAAAGGGAUUCUAGGAAAUUACACAUCAUAAAAUAGAUACUAUCACAAAGGCGAUUACAAAUAAGCCAAGGAAACAAAAACUAAAACAUCUUUCAAACACAAUAUAUCUUUACCGCAUCAGAAUUGAUUGGUUUGGUCCACUCUUGACCAUCAAUCUCAGGUAGGAUUAGGGCGCCUCCAGGUUGGGCUUCUUUCAGUUUUCAAAUUCCUCUAUAUCUUCCACUAAUUUCUCCUCAUCACCUUUUCUAUUCAUCAUCAUUACCCCCGCUUUGUUCGUCUAAUCCUUGACAUGACAUAAUAUUGGUAGGGUUUAAAUUACUUUUUUGAAAGAAACCAAGUUAGAUGAUAAAAAGAUAAUAAUAUAAUCAUAUUUCAAAAAUAAAUUCUUAAAUGAAGGGAGGAAUUUUGAAAAAUAAAUAAAAACUAUGGCUCAUGACUCGCGAAAAUGCGGGCCUAUGCCUUUUUGAAAGCUAUAAAAAAUGAAAUGAAAAUUUAGGAUAUAGAAAGGUGGAUCAUGGGGCCUCCUCCAGAUCAUCACUGAUUUUUUAAAACUACUAGUAAUUGCCCUUUCAUCUAUCAUGCUGGGGACGAGUUAUGAAUGGAGUGGAGGUCCAAUUUUAUAAAGCCUCUCUUGGUGCAACCUUCUUCACCCCACUGAACUUCGGAAAAUCUUCUAGUACAACAUUGCAUCCCUCGAACAUAUUUCCUAUCCCAUCCCCAAGGCCAUCAUUAUUUGACAUAUCACGCACGAGAAAUGACUGGUACAGGAGAGGCAAGGGCCUGCACAAACUCGUCUUUGACUUAUCAUCAAUCUUAUCCUCCUCUGUUGGCUGGUAUCCUAAUCCAUACUUAAAUACUUUUUCUGGGACCAUAAUGGGCUCAAUGAUUUCUUCCAAAUUCUUACUUAAGACGCUCAAAGCAGCCACAACUUUCUCUAUCUUUUCUAUUUUUUUAUUUUUAUGGAAUUUUGCGAAUCUACCUUAGUAAUAGUCUUGCUAGAUACCUAUUCGCCUGCUAUUUCAAUCAUGAUAACCAUGCCUCCUUUGUGAUUAUUCAAUGGAUUACUGUUGAUUUUUGGUGCCAGAGACUGAAGCAUGAUGACCUUCUAAUCAAUCAAAUCUUGAAUCUUAUGCUUUAAGCUAACGCAAUCCUCAGGUUGUGCCCCGCCGCUCCUGAAUGAUAAGCACAAUUUGGAUCAGCAUGAUAAAAUCAAGAGUUGGGAUUGAUAAGCUUGGCUGUAUAAGCUGUAAAUGACUGACAUCCUUCAAUCUCCCAAAGAGUUGGGUGCAACUUUCAGCCAGCUACGUGAAGUUUUGGGGAGGUCUUAUUUCGAGGUUUGGUCGUUGAGGGUCAUAUUGAUUUAAUUAGCGGGAGGAGGUACCUGAUGAUAGUUUGUUGGCUCUAGGAUGUUUAUUUGGUUGUUUGGAAGAAUAGCUUGAACAUGAGACUGAUAAUUUGGCUGUGAAACUUUGUAAUGGGGUAAAAUAUUUGGAAGCAGAGCUUGGUAUUGGGAUUAGGCAUAGAAUACAAGCUAAAAACUUGAUGAUGGAGGUAAGGAAAGAAUAUUCCUCAUCUUGAAUUUCUUCUUUAAUUUAGCCACAAAAUUAGUAUAGACCGCAGUCACAUUCUCUUUUUUUUUUUUGAGAAUGCAAAAGAUUCAGAUGAUGUUGGGGUUUGGACAAUCUUUCCCAUUCGAAUUCCUUUCUCUAGCUAUUCCCUAAUUUUUACCAAAUUUAUAAAAGUUGCCCUAAAUGCGGAUACCAUCCUAGUGAAAAAUUCUCCCUCCUGAGCAUGAGAGUAAAUAGAUACCAUUUUCUUCUCAGACAUGGGAGGUUGUACUUUGGCAGCUUCCUUCCUCCAAUGGAAGGCACAGUCUCAAAAACACUUAUCAUUCUUCUGCUUGAUCUGGUCUAAUGAGUUUCGGUCAGGGACUAUUUCAAUGUUAAAUGCAAACCUAUCAAGGAAACCUUUAGCCAAUGCCCUCUAACUAGUACAUAUUUUAAGUUCUUGAGACGUAAACCAAUCUAAGGCUUUGCCGCUUAAGCUUUGGCUGAACAGGCGUAUCAGUAAUGUCUCAUUUUUUCCUAUCUCCACAAUUUGAUCAUGAUACCUCCUCAGAUAGGCCAUUGGAUUUUUAGUUCCAUCGAAUACUUCAAAUUUAGGGACUUUGUAUCCUUCUGGUAGAUCUACUCCAGGGUGAACACAUAGAUCAUCGUAAUCUAGACUAUCAUUGUUCCCCACUCAUGAUAUUCCUUGAUCCUCAUAAUCUCUUCAUUCAUAGCCAGUAACUUCAUUUCAUACUCGAUCCUCUACUCUUUUUCCUUCUUCUCAUAAUGGUCUAUCUCGUGAUUAGGAAAGGAAUUAUAGAUAUCAGGGGAUAUGAUGACAUAAGGAAGAUUUAAAAUGGUAGCUUGAUUUUGAGGAUGAGAGGAGGUUAGAUGGUAGGUGGGGAGGACAUUUUGGAAAUUUGAAAAGUAUUGUUUGAUUUGAAAGUAGUUUGGUGGUAUAUGGGAAGGAUUUUGUGGAUUCCAAAAUGAAUUUAUGGAUUAGGAGAUGGAUUUGGUAGAUUUGGGGGUGGACUUUGUAGAUUUGGAAACAAAUUUUAUGGAUUUGGAAGCGGGUUUUGUGGGUUUGAAAAUAGGUUUUGGGGAUUCAAAAAUGAAUCUUGUGGAUUUGGAAACGGAUUUUGUGGGGUUAGGGAUAGAUUUAGCGUAUGGUAAGCAUCUGGGUUAUUUUCUCAAUUGGUGUUUUUUAUAAAUUGAGGAGCGAAAGAGGACGAUAUAUUAUUUGGAUGGUCCCUGAGAACAGGCAUACUGAGAAGAGUGAUUUGGCGUGGAGUCCCGUGACCUCCUGAAGCGGGAGCAUUUACAGUGAUGGCCAGGUUAGCCAAGUCUCUAGUAUGGUUUAUCUCUUUCUGAAGCAUUUCCAAUUUUCUCACGAGUUCAACAAUAAUCUCACUUUGUUCCGUUAUUUCACCAUCCCUGAUGGUAGAUGCAUUUCCUUCAUCACUUUCGGUCAUGUUUGAAUGAUGAUUAGGGGAUGGGAUCUUAUGUGCUUUUGAUCGAGUGAAGUAAGGAUGUCCUGCCAACUUAUUUCAACACUGAGUAGUUUUCUAUUAUCUAUAAUGUAAAAUAACUCGAAGGCAAAUGUGUUAGUUUCCAUAUGUGAUAAGUAAUGCAAGAUACUUGACAAGAAAUAACCACGUAGAGUCGUUUGUGUCCUAGCCAAAUUAAUCCACGUGAGCAUAGUGGAUAAACUAGCCUUUGAUUCAAACAAAUGCAUAUAAACACAUAAGACAGUUUUAUCGCAUAAAAACAUUAUAAUAACGCGUAUCCUAACUAGAGUAACCCUUUUGAGCCAAGGGUUUAGGCCUAACGAACGUUGAAUAAAAUAUAUGUCUUUUUUAAAGCCAAUCCAUUAUCCCCCCAAUUUCAUAGAUAUACAUAAAUGGGAUAAAUGCCUACAAAAGUUGCACAAAAGGGGUACAAUCAAUAGGGAAAGGAAAAUCACAUGAGAAAAUGAUUGAUCUCCCACAUAGCGGAUAGGAAAUACUAACUCCUGAAUGUUUCUUCUAUUGGCCUUCGCCUUCUUAGCUUUGUCCACUUAUUUUCAUUGGCGCCAUCCGUUGAUAAUCAAGUUAUUUCCGUAUAGCUGUGCCUUAGAUGAAACCAUCUAAAUCGAUCAAUUUCUUUCUUGGUUUGCUUCAAUUCCUCUCUCAAUUGGUGUAUGAUUAAGGCAUCCUUACAUGAAAGCAAAGCCAGUUUCUUUCCCAACCCCCAAAGUAUAAUGGAUUGGAUUAAACAAAUAUAUAUUCUUCUUUAACACGUAAAUAUGAUUCAUCAGUAAUUAACUCGGGGUCAGUAGACGUAAGGCAAGUUUUCUAAUGGGCCAAAUAUUCCCUCGGGUAUUGGGUAAUCCUAGGCUCAUACCUAAAAUAAGGUUUUGGUUUCGCUAUAUCCUAGGUGUCUAGAGUGGGUUUGGACACAUGUUCCUAAGUGGACAACAUGAGUUUGGAAACAAGAUCAGCCUCUGACCGCCUAACAUGCCGAUAAACUGUCGUAUUUCUAACAUUUGAUUUAGAGGUGAACAAUAGGGGAUGGGACAUCCGCGAAACCCCAAAACAGAUUAAUAAUCAAUGCAAGACCAUGCCAUGAAAUGCAAUAAUUAAAUUCUGCAAAAUUGAAACACAUAAAUACGUAAGCAAUUUAAACAGUUAGUCAAUAGUUGAAAUCAAACAUUUGGUUAGAACCUAGUUAGAAUCCCCAGUAGAAUCGUCAUUUUUGUUUUGCGAAAAUUUGCCUUUCAGGGUCGCCACUUAAUUUUGAACAGAAAUUAAGAAACCUUUAUGAAAUUCUUUAAACGCUCCAAAACAUAAAAAAAAUCAUUUAAAUUUGAAGAUUCUGAGUAAGCGGUUCCUAUUAACAUUUUAAGAAGGUUUAAGGCACCAAAAACGUCCGCUAACUUGCGGUUAUCCGGACUGUUUGAAAAUAUCUUUUGACUAACUUUAAAAAGAUUGAUUUUAAAAGAAAGUUAUUUAGGAAAAAACUUGUGUAAAAUCAAUUUGACGACUUAGUAAGGAAUUUAACUAAAUUUGAAGGUACAAAUAGAAAAUAAACAUAGAAAAGGAAAAGGUAAAAAAUAAGAUUAGGCUUUUAGUCCCAAACCCGCUUGUACCUGUCCUAAACUAUCCAUUUGGGCUUUUGUCCCGUCGUCACUUGUAAAAAAUGAAAUGAAAAUGUGGGAUAUAAAAAGGGGGAUCACGGGGCCUCCUCCGGAUCAUCACCAAUUUUUUAAAACUACUAGUAAUUUCCCUUUCAUCUAUCAUGAUGGGUGACGAGUUAUGAAUGGAGUGGAUGUCCAAUUUUGCAAAGCUUCUCCUGGUUCAACCUUUUUCACCCUACCGUACUUUGGAAAAUUUUUUGGUACAAUAUUGCAUCCCUCGUGCAGAUUUCCUAUCCCAACCCCAAGGCUAUCAUUAUUUGAUAUCUCACGCAUGAGAAAUGACUGGUACAGGAGCGGCAAGGGCCUAUGGAGACUCGUCUUUGACUUAUCCUCAAUUUUAUCCUCCUCUAUUGGCUGGUAUCCUAACCCAUACUUAGAUGCUUUUUCUGGGACCAUAAUGGGCUCAAUAAUUUCUUCCAAAUUCUUACUCAAGACACUCAAAGCAGCCACGACUUUCUCUAUCUUUACUACUUUUUUUAUUUUUUUUGGAAUUUUGCGAAUCCACCUUAGUAAUAGUUUUUCUAGAAAUCCAUUCGCUUGCUAUUUUGAUCAUGCUAACCGUGCCUUCUUUG